rnacentral:rRNA from 1 species
AGUGAACGCUGGCGGUAGGCCUAACACAUGCAAGUCGAACGGCAGCACAGUAAGAGCUUGCUCUUACGGGUGGCGAGUGGCGGACGGGUGAGGAAUACAUCGGAAUCUACUUUUUCGUGGGGGAUAACGUAGGGAAACUUACGCUAAUACCGCAUACGACCUACGGGUGAAAGCAGGGGAUAUUCGGACCUUGCGCGAUUGAAUGAGACGAUGUCGGAUUAGCUAGUUGGCGGGGUAAAGGCCCACCAAGGCGACGAUCCGUAGCUGGUCUGAGAGGAUGAUCAGCCACACUGGAACUGAGACACGGUCCAGACUCCUACGGGAGGCAGCAGUGGGGAAUAUUGGACAAUGGGCGCAAGCCUGAUCCAGCCAUACCGCGUGGGUGAAGAAGGCCUUCGGGUUGUAAAGCCCUUUUGUUGGGAAAGAAAAGCAGCAGGUUAAUACCCCGCUGUUCUGACGGUACCCAAAGAAUAAGCACCGGCUAACUUCGUG